UCAAACACUGUGGGCGUGAUUUCAAUAACGUGAGAUGGAAGAGAGGUUGCCUGUGCUUGCUGGCAACAGUCACUUUCGGUCAUAGCUCUAUCGAUGUGACAUGUUUUUAGGAUGCCCUGGCAACACCAGCCAGUACGAAACCCCACAGAAGAAGAAAACCCCACAGAAGAAGAAAACACCCAGUGUGUGCGAGGAGUUUGUGGGAGGGGACUAUACAUUUCAGUGGAGGGGAUAUGGGGAGCUACUAGUAGCCAGCUAAUUAGCUAUUAUAUGUAGCUAGCUACUGGUAGGUUAGAUAGAUAGCUCGUAGCUAGCUGGCUAUGAAGAGGCACUAUUGGCUAACGUUACUGCCUAACGUUAGCUAGCUAGCCCACUGGCACUGGCUAGCUACCUUCACAACAAGACAUCAUCGUGGCACACCUUUAGCUCUCACACUGUGUGUGUGUCUCUCUCUCUGUCCGUCUGUUUGUCUGUUAUAGCAUGUCUGUGUGUCCAUCUAUCUGUUUAGGAGUUCCAGAUAUGGCUGCAGGAGAGUAGUGGCGUACAACACUGGAGGGCAUYUUCACUGAGCAAUGAGCACAUGUAGGCAACCCCAGCAGGUCGUCCAGCAGACGCUGCCCCCUCCUGUCUUCCAGUUGAUGCUGACCAAGCUGCACACCAUCACAGCAGCACCUAACCCAAACCCUUUCCCUACCCCUUACCCUAAACCGGGUUUGUAUCCUAACCCAACCCCACCCCUUAUCCUAAACCGGGUUCGUAUCCAAAUCCCAACCCUACCCUCCCCAUACACUGAUACAUCACACUCUUUCCCUUCUUUGAGCCCACCCCUCUCUUUAUUUAUGGUUUUGUUUAGACUGAUUUUGUUUUGACUCCUAUUUUUUCUUUUUCUUCAUUUUUACCAUUUUAAGAGUUGUAUAAGUCUUCUUMUUAUUAUUAUUAUUAUUAUCAUCAUCAUCAUCAGAUGGGUAAGGAUGUUCUCCCAUAGGAAGCAAGGGCUGGAGGGGCACCAAAAUGGCUGAAAGAUGCCUUCAUGCCCUGAUCUGCACUUUGCUAUUUCCCUUCCUGGACUAAAGUUCAAUGGAUUUGUACAAUUGGUUAGUCUAGUUCAAUGUUCUUAUUUCUUGCCUAAUGGGCAACAGUGUGAACAUUGUCAUCACUACCUUUGCUGUAACACCUCAUUGAACUACUCAAUAAGACCACUCUUGGGUAAAUUGAGUGAAUGAAUGAUUGGUUAUGACAACAUGCACUAAACCGGAACAUAUGGUUGUGAACAAUUAAAAACAGCAGGAUAUGUGAAUUAAAUUGUGACUAGUGCACUUCAUACGUUGUACAUUGAUAAUCUUUGUCUCCAUCCAUGCUAAYCCUUUUGCAUAAUUUGUGCUUCUUUUUCACAGACAGUUUUGAAUGAUGACCUCCAUAACUGACAAGAACCGAGAAGGAAUAUCAUCACCAAUGAUGCUACUAAUAUUUCUAACUGUACUGAUGAGGAAGAGGGAAGACAUCCAUUGUCGCUGAACUGCUUGACGUGUUCAGUCAAAAUUACAGUGCCACUUUCUUACCAGUAGUCACAUGUUCAAUAAGAAGUUCUAUACAAUACAGAAGUGUUUUUGCUCUAUAAUGAGGUUCUGCCAAUCAUAUGUUGGAAAACAUUAUCAAGAAAACCUACAGUAGCUGAACACUGAUAGUAACCUGUUUGUUGAACAACAGUGAUUCUAAGAACAAGAAUAGCUGGYACCUAUAGGACAAUGUAUCUAUCACAGGUCACCAAGGGUACAGUAAGGUAAAACCUUGAUAAAAUCAUUUGUGAUGCUUAAUUGUGCAUGCCUCUCAUUUUCCAACAACUUAAUAUGCAAUAAAGUUAUACCUAUGGCUUGCAUAACCAA